CAGGCGGUUCUCAUGAACAAUUCAUACAUAUAGCUACGAAAAGUAAUGCACUGCAAUUCUUAUUCCACAUAUUUAU